GACGUAGGGCGCAAGCGUUGUCCGGAUUUACUGGGCGUAAAGGGCGCGUAGGCGGCUUAACAAGUCACUUGUGAAAUCUCCGGGCUUAACUCGGAACGGCCAAGUGAAACUGUCAAGCUAGAGUGCAGAAGGGGCAAUCGGAAUUCUUGGUGUAGCGGUGAAAUGCGUAGAUAUCAAGAGGAACACCUGAGGUGAAGACGGGUUGCUGGGCUGACACUGACGCUGAGGCGCGAAAGCCAGGGGAGCAAACGGG
rnacentral:rRNA from 1 species